GAUAAAAUAAGCUAACCUUAAGCUAUUGGGUUCAUACCCCGAAAAUGGACAGUGUUCCUUUUAUCA
rnacentral:tRNA from 1 species